rnacentral:rRNA from 1 species
UUCCGGUUGAUCCUGCCGGACCCGACUGCUAUCGGAUUGAGAUUUAGCCAUGCGAGUCGAACGUCCCCCUGUCGCGGGGGGCGUGGCGUACGGCUCAGUAACACGUAGUCAACCUGCCCUGGAGAUAAGGACAACCCCGGGAAACUGGGAUUAAUCCUUGAUAGGUCAUCUCAUCUGGAAGGAGAGAUGGCUUAAAGGGGUACGCGGGCUUCUUCCGCGAAUCUGCUCCAGGAUGGGACUGCGUCCGAUCAGGCUGUUGGCGGGGUAAUGGCCCACCAAACCUGUAACCGGUACGGGCCUUGAGAGAGGUGGCCCGGAGAUGGACACUGAGAGAAGGGUCCAGGUCCUACGGGGCGCAGCAGGCGCGAAACCUUCGCAAUGCGCGAAAGCGUGACGAGGUUAAUCCGAGUGACUCCCGCUGAGGGGGUCUUUUGUCAGCUGUAAAUAGGCAGGCGAAUAAGGGGAGGGCAAGCCUGGUGUCAGCCGCCGCGGUAAUACCAGCUCCUCGAGUGGUCGGGGCGAUUAUUGGGCCUAAAGCAUCCGUAGCCGGUUCCGUAGGUCCUCUGUUAAAUCCAACCGCUUAACGGUUGACCUGCAGAGGAUACCGCGGGACUAGGAGGCGGGAGAGGCGGACGGUACUCCGCGUGUAGGGGUAAAAUCCUUUGAUCCGCGGAAGACCACCAGUGGCGAAGGCGGUCCGCCAGAACGCGCUCGACGGUGAGGGAUGAAAGCUGGGGGAGCGAACCGGAUUAGAUACCCGGGUAGUCCCAG